ensembl:misc_RNA Y_RNA Y RNA
GGCUUGUGCGAGUGCAGUGGUGUUUACAACUAAUUGAUCACGACCAGUUACAGAUUCCUUUGUUCCUUCUCCACUCCCACUGCUUCACUUGCCUAGCCUAAA